ensembl:rRNA 5S_rRNA 5S ribosomal RNA
GCUUACGGCCAUACCAGCCCAAGAACGCCCGGUCCCGUCUGAUCUCGGAAGCUAAGAAGGCCUUAGAGCCUGUUUAGUACUUGGAUGGGAGACCUUCCUGGGAAUACCAGGUGCUGUAGCUU